GUGAGGUUCUGUGGACUGCAGUGUUUCAAGAGGUCAGACUAGAUGAUCAUGAUGGUUCUUUCUGGCCUUAAAGUCUGAGACUGAGCCUGUGACUUAGGCUCC